rnacentral:rRNA from 1 species
GACGAACGCUGGCGGCGUGCCUAAUACAUGCAAGUAGAACGCACAGGAUGCACCGUAGUUUACUACACCGUAUUCUGUGAGUUGCGAACGGGUGAGUAACGCGUAGGUAACCUGCCUGGUAGCGGGGGAUAACUAUUGGAAACGAUAGCUAAUACCGCAUAAGAACAUUUACUGCAUGGUAGAUGUUUAAAAGGUGCAAAUGCAUCACUACCAGAUGGACCUGCGUUGUAUUAGCUAGUAGGUGAGGUAACGGCUCACCUAGGCGACGAUACAUAGCCGACCUGAGAGGGUGAUCGGCCACACUGGGACUGAGACACGGCCCAGACUCCUACGGGAGGCAGCAGUAGGGGAUCCUCGGCAAUGGGGGGAACCCUGACCGAGCAACGCCGCGUGAGUGAAGAAGGUUUUCGGAUCGUAAAGCUCUGUUGUUAAGGAAGAACGAGUGUGAGAAUGGAAAGUUCAUACUGUGA